GACGCUAGCGGCGGGCUUAAUACAUGCAAGUCGAGGGGCAGCAUAACACUUCGGUGUUGAUGGCGACCGGCGAACGGGUGAGUAACGCGUAUGUAACCUACCUACUACAGAGGGAUAGCCCAUGGAAACGUGGAUUAAUACCUUAUAGCACAUUUAAACUUCAUGGUUAAAAUGUUAAAGAUUUAUUGGUAGUAGAUGGACAUGCGUCUGAUUAGGUAGUUGGUGAGGUAACGGCUCACCAAGCCAACGAUCAGUAGGGGGUUUGAGAGGAUGAUCCCCCACACUGGAACUGAGACACGGUCCAGACUCCUACGGGAGGCAGCAGUAGGGAAUAUUGGUCAAUGGAGGGAACUCUGAACCAGCCACGCCGCGUGUAGGAAGAAUGUCCUUAGGAUUGUAAACUACUUUUAUCAGGGAAGAAUGACGAGCAUGCGUGCUCGGAGGGACGGUACCUGAGGAAUAAGCACCGGCUAACUACGUGCCAGCAGCCGCGGUAAUACGUAGGGUGCAAGCGUUAUCCGGAAUUACUGGGUUUAAAGGGUGUGUAGGCGGUUUUUUAAGUCUGUGGUGAAAGGUUACAGCUCAACUGUAAAAGUGCCAUGGAUACUGGAAGACUUGAGUAUUAUAAAGGAAGGUGGAAUUCGUGGUGUAGCGGUGAAAUGCAUAGAUACCACGAGGAAGGCCGAUUGCGAAGGUAGCUUUCUGGAUAAUAACUGACGCUAAAACACGAAAGCGUGGGGAGCGAACAGGAUUAGAUACCCUGGUAGUCCACGCCGUAAACGAUGGAUACUCGGUGUGUGGUCUUCGGACUGCGUGCCUUAGCGAAAGCGUUAAGUAUCCCACCUGGGGAGUACGUCGGCAACGA
rnacentral:rRNA from 1 species